rnacentral:rRNA from 1 species
UACGUAGGGCGCAAGCGUUGUCCGGAAUUAUUGGGCGUAAAGAGCUCGUAGGCGGCCAGUUGCGUCUGCUGUGAAAUCCCGGGGCUCAACCCCGGGCGUGCAGUGGAUACGGGCUGGCUAGAGGCAGGCAGGGGAGAACGGAAUUCCCGGUGUAGCGGUGAAAUGCGCAGAUAUCGGGAGGAACACCGGUGGCGAAGGCGGUUCUCUGGGCCUGUACUGACGCUGAGGCGCGAAAGCGUGGGGAGCAAACAGG